GGGGGAUAACAGUGCGAAAGCGCUGCUAAUACCGCAUAAGCUCACGACAUCUUUGGAUGAAGUGAGAAAAGGGGGCCUCUGACUCAAGCUCCCGCCCUUCGAUCGGCUCGCGUCCCAUUAGCUAGUUGGUGAGGUAAUGGCUCACCAAGGCUACGAUGGGUAGCUGGUCUGAGAGGAUGAUCAGCCACACUGGAACUGAGACACGGUCCAG
rnacentral:rRNA from 1 species